UACAGAGGGUGCGAGCGUUAAUCGGAAUUACUGGGCGUAAAGCGUGCGUAGACGGCUAUCUAAGUCGGGUGUGAAAGCCCCGGGCUCAACCUGGGAAUUGCAUUCGAGACUGAAUAGCUAGGGUACGGUAGAGGGAAGUGGAAUUUCCGGUGUAGCGGUGAAAUGCGUAGAUAUCGGAAGGAACAUCAGUGGCGAAAGCGACUUCCUGGACCAGUACCGACGUU
rnacentral:rRNA from 1 species